rnacentral:rRNA from 1 species
CGUGCCUAAUACAUGCAAGUAGAUACGCUGGAGGAAGGAGCUUGCUCUUUSCGGAUGAGUUGCGAACGGGUGAGUAACGCGUAGGUAACCUGCCUGGUAGCGGGGGAUAACUAUUGGAAACGAUAGCUAAUACCGCAUAACAGUAGGAUGUUGCAUGACAUUUACUUGAAAGGUGCAAUUGCAUCACUACCAGAUGGACCUGCGUUGUAUUAGCUAGUUGGUGAGGUAACGGCUCACCAAGGCGACGAUACAUAGCCGACCUGAGAGGGUGAUCGGYCACACUGGGACUGAGACACGGCCCAGACUCCUACRGGAGGCAGCAGUAGGGAAUCUUCGGCAAUGGACGGAAGUCUGACCGMGCAACGCCGCGUGAGUGAAGAAGGUUUUCGGAUCGUAAAGCUCUGUUGUAAGAGAAGAACGAGUGUGAGAGUGGAAAGUUCACACUGUGACGGUAUCUUACCAGAAAGGGACGGCUAACUACGUGCCAGCAGCCGCGGUAAUACGUAGGUCCCGAGCGUUAUCCGGAUUUAUUGGGCGUAAAGCGAGCGCAGGCGGUUAGAUAAGUCUGAAGUUAAAGGCUGUGGCUUAACCAUAGUACGCUUUGGAAACUGUUUAACUUGAGUGCAAGAGGGGAGAGUGGAAUUCCAUGUGUAGCGGUGAAAUGCGUAGAUAUAUGGAGGAACACCGGUGGCGAAAGCGGCUCUCUGGCUU